GACUCGCUUUCUGACCGGCGCUGCCCCCCCCUUCCCCUCCACCAACCCUCUCCCCCCCCACACCCCGGGGUGUGCACACCCCCCCACUUUGGCAUCCUGACCCCCAACCCGGGGGCUGGAUGCGGGGUGGGUGUGAGGAUGAUGAUGAGGAUGAUGAUGAGGAUGGGGAUGGGGGGGGGGGGAGCGCGCAGGCACUUCUGCAGGCGCAGCCCUUUUCGCAUCAAGAGAUUGGCUAUAAGGAGAAGGCUGACGGCUGCAGCAUGAAGCGCAUUAUUACCUUGUGAUUCCAUGACCCUCCUCUAUGCAUCCCUAACUCUCGAAAGCUGAUUCAGCUUUCAGCUAGUGCUCUGGUGAGUCCUCUGCUGCAACAGAAGCUCCUAACUGCUCAGGAUGUUAAACAACUGCAGCUACAGCUAGAGGAUUUUUAUUGUGAUCAGCAGCCCUCAGUAUUCAGUGCCUGAGAGUUUUAGACUCUCUCCCAGGAGCAUUCCAGGGUGAGGAGCUUUCCAGAAGCCCGAAGCAGCGCUGACACUGUGCCAAUGCCUGAACAUCGAUGAGGAGGAUGACUUGUACCUGUGUCUUUCGUGAACCAGAUAUAAGCAAACACCAGGAGGUUUAAUGUGGGCACACAUCCAGGAACCAGUAUUUCACUGGGAGGAGGAAAGAUCCUAUUGCACAAAUGGCUAAAGCAGCAGAGUGAAGUAUCUCCAGUGUUACAUCUAGUGGGGCACUGCAGCUAUUCCUGGUGUCCGCAACUCAAGAAGGAUGGUGAUGAAUGGGAGAGGGCACACGAGAAUGACUGAAGCAUUGCAAAACAUGCCUUAUAGUGACAGAUUCAAGGACCCCAAUGCGCUUAGCUUAACAAAGAGAAGGUUAAGGGAUGGCUUAAUGACAAUCCAGAUGUAUUCAGACAGAAAUGCAGAAAGAGAGAGCUCUUCAAUCUAAUAGACAGAGCUAUAAAAAGAGCCGGUGACUGGAAGCUGACACUGUAAAAUCCAGGCUGGGAAGGGUAUAUUUUUUAAACUGGGAGAAGUAACAUCAGAGCAACUUCCCCACAGAUGGUUUCAUCAUCACUGGCCAUUUCAAAGCAAUUCUGGGUUUUUUUUGACAUUUUAAGGCAUAUCCUGCCUCCACCCAAAAUCACUGAAUUAACAAAGAGACACCCACACCACACAGAUGGGGUGGUCCUUCUUUGAUUUUACACUAUUCCUAAUAACAACUAUAUGUCAUCAUCCUAGAGCACUGAGUGGGACAAUUCACUUUUGUCAGAGUUACUGAUCUGGCCUUGGUGGAGACUCACCCAGACACCUCAAUGUUAUUAAUGCCUCAUCUUUGGCAGUGGAAAGGCUGGAAAGGUACUAUAAACCCAAAUAAAACCAUCCCUGCCGACAUCUCAUUGCUAUAAGAUAACCCCAAAACGCAGUGCCGAAGAAAGCAGCUCGAAACAAGUACGUGAAGAACCUGCAGUGGUGCAGUUAAACCGUGCUGAUCCCUGUCUGCUGUUUCAGCUUGAUAAAACUGUUCAGGGAAAUGACACAUCCGUAAUCCUUAAAAGGUGCUGAAACUGUGAGUAAAAAUGUGUAUUUUGGUAACACUCAUCUACACCCAGGGAAUCGCGGAAUGGGAGAGCCACGAUCGUGCACAGUGAAGCUUUCUGGAGGAACUCCUCCACAUCUCUGCUCUCUGGCUUGGGAGCUGCUGGAAUUUCUCCUUUCAUGGCAAUUCUUCAGCAGGAGCCUGGCUGCAGACCCCUCACUUGGGCAGCUCCAGGAGCCCCCCACUGUCUUCUUCUGGGACUGAUCCACAAACCCAAGCACACAUCUCAUUGUGCAUCCGGAUGUACUGGGAACCACACAGGUAUAUG